GCAGGGCUGGGUAAUGGGACUGUGUCUGAUAAGAGGGACAUCUUUCUACUCUUGUGUGCUUUAAUCUCGGUGUGUGGGGCGAGGCCCGGGGGAUGUGUGUGUGUGUGUGUAGCAAGGCCCAGGGCAGCUGUGUGUGCCUGGGGAACUGUGUGUGUGUGUGUGUGUGUAGCGAGGCCCGGGGGAGGUGUGUGUGUGUGUGUGUGUGUGCCAAGGCCUCGGGGAGCUGUGUGUGUGUGUGUGUUACGAGGUCCAGGGGAACUGUGUGUGUGUGUGUGUGUUACGAGGCCCAGGGGAACUGUGUGUGUGUGUGGCGAGGCCUGGGGAACUGUGUGUGUGUGUGGCGAGGCCUGGGGAACUGUGUGUGUGUGUGGCGAGGCCCAGGGAAACUGUGUGUGUGUGUUACGAGGCCCAGGGGAACUGUGUGUGUGUGUGGCGAGGCCUGGGGAACUGUGUGUGUGUGUG
rnacentral:lncRNA from 1 species